rnacentral:rRNA from 1 species
GACGAACGCUGGCGGCGUGCCUAACACAUGCAAGUCGAACGCGCUCCAUUCGGUAGCAAUACUGAUGAAGAGCGAGUGGCGAACGGGUGAGUAACACAUGAGCAACCUGCCCCGAAGACUGGGACAACACCGGGAAACCGGUGCUAAUACCGGAUAUCCCUAUCGGACCGCAUGAUCUGAUAAGGAAAUGGAUUCCGCUUCGGGAGGGGCUCGUGGCCUAUCAGCUAGUUGGUGAGGUAAUAGCUCACCAAGGCUUCGACGGGUAGCUGGUCUGAGAGGACGAUCAGCCACACUGGGACUGAGACACGGCCCAGACUCCUACGGGAGGCAGCAGUGGGGAAUCUUGCGCAAUGGGCGAAAGCCUGACGCAGCAACGCCGCGUGGAGGACGAAGGCUUUCUGAGUUGUAAACUCCUUUCAGCAGGGACGAUAGUGACGGUACCUGCAGAAGAAGCACCGGCCAACUACGUGCCAGCAGCCGCGGUGAUACGUAGGGUGCAAGCGUUGUCCGGAUUUAUUGGGCGUAAAGAGCUCGUAGGCGGUUUGAUAAGUCGGGUGUGAAACCUCCAGGCUCAACCUGGAGCCGCCAUUCGAUACUGUCAUGACUAGAAUUCGGUAGGGGACCACGGAAUUCCUGGUGUAGCGGUGAAAUGCGCAGAUAUCAGGAGGAACACCAGCAGCGAAGGCGGUGGUCUGGGCCGAAAUUGACGCUGAGGGGCGAAAGCGUGGGGAGCGAACAGGAUUAGAUACCCUGGUAGUCCACGCCGUAAACGUUGGGCACUAGGUGUGGGGACUAUUCAACGGUUUCCGUGCCGCAGCUAACGCAUUAAGUGCCCCGCCUGGGGAGUACGGCCGCAAGGCUA